GAAUUUUGGACAAUGGGGGCAACCCUGAUCCAGCCAUCCCGCGUGUGCGAUGAAGGCCUUCGGGUUGUAAAGCACUUUUGGCAGGGAAGAAAAGGCGCUGGCGAAUACCUGGAGCGGCGGACGGUACCUGCAGAGUAAGCACCGGCUAACGACGGGCCCGCCGCCGCGGUAAUACGUAGGGUGCAAGCGUUAAUCGGAAUUACUGUGCGUAAAGCGUGCGCAGGCGGUUCGGCAAGAAGGAUGUGAAAUCCCAGGGCUUAACCUUGGAACUGCAUUCUUAACUGCCGGGCUAGAGUAUGUCAGAGGGGGGUAGAAUUCCGCGUGUAGCAGUGAAAUGCGUAGAGAUGCGGAGGAAUACCGAUGGCGAAGGCAGCCCCCUGGGAUAAUACUGACGCUCAUGCACGAAAGCGUGGGGAGCAAAC
rnacentral:rRNA from 1 species